UUACAAUCUGGGAUCCCUUGUACAAUUCUGCAUUUACACUUCCAGCACAGUGCACAGAUAGGUGUGCACAUCUUUGUCACCUGUAAAAGAGCAGUAAAAUGGACAACACCAAAUAAACUGUAAGUUCUGCUGAGGUGUACAACAAUAACUCAUGGUCUGCCUAUCUUACAAGCUGCAGGAGAAGCCAGCAGUAAAAGAAAGCAACAGAAAAGCAGUCUUUGUACCUUCGCUCUCCCAAAAGAAGAUAAAAUAUCUACUUCUUCCCCACAACCUUGACUGACAAGAUAAAUGAAAUGAAGACAGAAACUAAGCACAGAAAUAGUGAAUGUGAAGUGUUUAGAGGAAAAUAAAACUGUCAAACAUUCAAUUAAUGGUAUCUUG
rnacentral:lncRNA from 1 species